rnacentral:rRNA from 1 species
CCUGAGAAACCCAAAAGAUCGAAUGGGGAGAUUCAUCGUUCAGCUGCGUUGGCUUCCGUGCGACACGCGAUGACGGGGACCUCGGUCUCGCGUCACGCUGCCGCUGCGGCAUGUCCGGCGCAGUCGGCGUGCACUUCUCCCCUAGUAGGACGUCGCGACCCGUUGGGUGUCGGACCAAUGGCCGGUCGGUCGUCUGUCGCGCUUGCUCUGCAUUGCGCGGCAGACCGUCCGGUCGAACGUCCGACUGCCCGGCGGUAUCGAACGUUGAAAACUGGUACUGGGCCGCAUUCAGUGCGUUCCUGGCUCGUCGGCAGGCUCGUCUCGCUCGGAUUUACGGACCUAGCGCCGUUGCCGGGUGCUUGACGCGGCCGUUAGUCGGCGAUGUCCUCGGACUGGCUCUUACCGGUCGGCACGCUACUGCUUUGGGUACUUUC